GUGUGACAGUCAGCUGACUUCCUGUUGCCUACAAGAUGUAGGGUUCUCAGCUCUGGCACCACAUCACACCUGCCUCCAUAAUGGACGGAACCUCUGAAACUAGACCACAGCCUGGGGUUCUCACACUCUUCUCACGGCGGGACAAAGCUGGAAGGGAUACUCAGCCCUGAAGGAAAUGCUGUUCAGUCUUGGGAACUGCAGUGCCCAUGGAAGCCGGAAGAGGGCGUUGUAUCUCCUGGAGCUGUGAGCUGGGAUGUGACUGCUAGACAUUGAACAUGGGUCCUCUGCAAGAGCAGUACUUGCUCUUGACCAUCAAGCCGUGUCUCCAGCCCCAGGACAUCUUCCUUAAUUGUCCCUUGGAGUAGGUGGACCUUAUGUCUAUGUGUUACUUUCAUUGGUUAAUAAAGAAACUGCCUUGGCUUUUUGAUAGGGCAGAAUUCAGAUAGGUGGAGUAGACUGAACAGGAUGCUGGGAGAAAGAAAGCAGAGUCAGGCAGACGCCAUAAUUCCCCUUCCCGAAAUGGACGCAGGCUGGACUCAUGUCGGAAAGCCACGACCUCAUGGUGGCAUACAGAUUAUUAGAUAUGGGUUAGUCAAGAUGUGGGAGUUAGCCAAUAAGAGGCUAGAACUAAUGGGCCAGGCAGUGUUUAAAUGAUUACAGUACCGUGUAAUUAUUUCGGAGGGUAAACUAGCUGGGAUCCGGGUGGGAAUGUAGCCUGCCACUCCUUCUACAGAUUGGCGCCCAGAGCAGUGGUUCUCAACUUUCCCAAU